GUUUCCCUGUAGCGCAAUGGAUCGUGCGUUGGACUUCUAACCCAAAGGUUGUGGUUUCGAAUUCCACCUGGAAUG